AUUGAACGCUGGCGGCAUGCCUUACACAUGCAAGUCGAACGGCAGCACGGGGGCAACCCUGGUGGCGAGUGGCGAACGGGUGAGUAACACAUCGGAACGUGCCCAGUAGUGGGGGAUAGCUCGGCGAAAGCCGGAUUAAUACCGCAUACGACCUACGGGUGAAAGCGGGGGAUCGCAAGACCUCGCGCUAUCGGAGCGGCCGAUGUCAGAUUAGGUUGUUGGUGGGGAAAGGCCUACCAAGCCGACGAUCUGUAGCUGGUCUGAGAGGACGACCAGCCACACUGGGACUGAGACACGGCCCAGACU
rnacentral:rRNA from 1 species